UAAUUAAAUGUUAAUUAAUAAUUAAUUAAUUAUACUGAUCACUUUUCUUUUUAAUGACGAUUCAUUAUCUCAGGCCCAAUUAAUAGGCCCAUUUGAGUUGGGCCUACCAAAUGACUCCAUUUGUGUGUUUAACUGUUUACACAUGUCAAUAUUCAUGAAAUCUUUGCUUGUUAAGUGUUAACAUCAAAGGACAUUACUAAUUGGUGAUAAUUUAAUACAACUUGUUAGGAAAGAAGCCUUUAAUGAAAGAAGACAAUAUCUGUGUAGUCAUUUAAUAUUUGUGGUACUAAGAAGAUAGGUACCUUCCAUUUCAUUAUACACGUAGUACAUGUUAUAGCCAAUAUUUUUCAACGGUCAACUACU